UUCUUAUCAAGAGCAGGUGGAGGGACGAGCCCAAUGAAGCCCGGCAACCGACUUAACCAACGUUAAGCACGGUGCUAAUUCUUGCAGCAUUAUGCUGAGAGAUAAGAA
rfam:Anoxybacillus sp. B7M1, complete genome.